rnacentral:rRNA from 1 species
GACGAACGCUGGCGGCGUGCCUAAUACAUGCAAGUAGAACGCUGAAGGAGGAGCUUGCUUCUCUGGAUGAGUUGCGAACGGGUGAGUAACGCGUAGGUAACCUGCCUGGUAGCGGGGGAUAACUAUUGGAAACGAUAGCUAAUACCGCAUAACAGUAGAUGUUGCAUGACAUUUGCUUAAAAGAUGCAAUUGCAUCACUACCAGAUGGACCUGCGUUGUAUUAGCUAGUUGGUGGGGUAACGGCUCACCAAGGCGACGAUACAUAGCCGACCUGAGAGGGUGAUCGGCCACACUGGGACUGAGACACGGCCCAGACUCCUACGGGAGGCAGCAGUAGGGAAUCUUCGGCAAUGGACGGAAGUCUGACCGAGCAACGCCGCGUGAGUGAAGAAGGUUUUCGGAUCGUAAAGCUCUGUUGUAAGAGAAGAACGAGUGUGAGAGUGGAAAGUUCACACUGUGACGGUAUCUUACCAGAAAGGGACGGCUAACUACGUGCCAGCAGCCGCGGUAAUACGUAGGUCCCGAGCGUUGCCCGGAUUUAUUGGGCGUAAAGCGAGCGCAGGCGGUUAGAUAAGUCUGAAGUUAAAGGCUGUGGCUUAACCAUAGUACGCUUUGGAAACUGUUUAACUUGAGUGCAAGAGGGGAGAGUGGAAUUCCAUGUGUAGCGGUGAAAUGCGUAGAUAUAUGGAGGAACACCGGUGGCGAAAGCGGCUCUCUGGCUUGUAACUGACGCUGAGGCUCGAAAGCGUGGGGAGCAAACAGG